rnacentral:rRNA from 1 species
CCUACGGGGGGCUGCAGUAGGGAAUAUUGGGCAAUGGGCGAAAGCCUGACCCAGCCAUGCCGCGUGAAGGAAGACGGCCUUAUGGGUUGUAAACUUCUUUACUAUACGAAUAGAGGUUAGUACGAGUUACUAAUAGGAAGGUAGUAUAGCAAAAAGCACCGGCUAACUCCGUGCCAGCAGCCGCGGUAAUACGGAGGGUGCAAGCGUUAUUCGGAAUUACUGGGUUUAAAGGGUGCGUAGGCGGUUAUAUAAGUUGUCAGUGAAAGGCUACGGCUCAACUGUAGUAGUGCUGGCGAUACUGUAUAACUAAGAACAUGGGAGGGGUACCUGGAAUGUGUGGUGUAGCGGUGAAAUGCAUAGAUAUCACACAGAACACCGGAGGCGAAGGCGGGGUACUAGACCAUAGUUGACGCUGAGGCACGAAAGCGUGGGGAGCAAACAGGAUUAGAUACCCCAGUAGUC